UUUCUUCCAGAAGAAUAUAUUCCUGCUCUCUUUAUUCUUUGUUUUGAUAGCCAACUCACGCUGAUUUGAAGCCUUUGUAUCUUCGGCAAUGUUAGUUUUUUCAAGCAUUUUCUUGGGCUCUAGCCUGGCCCCUACAUGUCUGUUGCAAAUAUAUUUGUUGUCAACAAGCUGCUUUUCCUCGCUCACCGGUGUUUUCUGAUAAUCAAGGUCACGGGGAGGAUUGUUAUACUCAUUAAGCUUUGUAUGGAUAAUGGACUCUAAUUCAGGGUAUAGUUCACUCUUAUUCCUGCAAUCGUCAUGCGGCCCUUCAUCAUGGUACUUAUAGACUUGUCCCAGGAAAUCUGACAAAGCAAGCUCAAGGCCAUCUUCUUCCGCCUGUUCCAUGCAUUUUGAACCACUGGGAUCCAGGGACCCAGAGGAGGAAGCAAUGCCUAUGUCUGCGCUGGGAUCUGUGACUCCCUUUGGUUUGCUGUUCGGCGUUGUUCUUUUGUCCAGACAGACAUCAUGUCCCAGUUGGUUUCGUAGUGCUGCAUUCCUCCGUGUUCUGAGAAAUACAGGACCAAAACAUCAGUUGUCUCCAGGAAACAAGUUUCGACAUGCAGCGUAAAUAUUACAACAAUAGAAAAGCUUGAACAGAGUCUGUACUGCAUCAAGAGGACUGAAUGAUGGUAGUUCAGUACAAGCCCAUACACAAGAAGCAGUACCAGCAAAGCCACUGAAGGAGUGCCUUCUGCUCCCUUGCUUCCUGUCGAGGAUAAGCUUGGGGUCGCGGCGGGAGUAGAACAUGCGGAUGAGGCCCCAGGUGCACCCAACAUUGUUCUCUUGGAUUUGUGAAGCCCGUCUGUGGCUCGUCUUCCCCAUUCUCUCGGUGGUUUUCUUCUACCUGCACUCUGAAGGUGAAGUACCUGGCAGAAGUAUGAGUUGUUCAGUUCAUGGUGCUAAUCCUCAGCAAACGUGAAGUACCCGGCAGCAAGCAAACGUGGUUGCAGAAAAUGCAUGUGUCUACUCUGCAGUUAAAUCAACGUAUAACAGAAUUUUACUACUGCUGGGUCUAGUAUCAACAUGGAUUAGAAUUGAACUACUUUCACUCUGGUUUGGUUCUGACCCUUGUUCCUUUUCUCUGCUAUUGUAGUAAUCACAGAAGAAACGGAGCCGGGGAUGCAAAGCCACCGCAGAGACAACUUGUAUCAUUAUGGUUAGAAAACAAGAGGGAAACCCAGCCAGCAAUAUUACAAGGCAAGAGUAUAACAAGAAAGAAUUGCUCACUGACAAUCGCGACGGCGCAGCAGGGAAGAAGAUGAAGAACCGCCCGUAGCUCCGAGCCGAUGAGGAGGAGAUCAGCACACACAGAGGACUAGAUAGAGGAGUGCAAGGGAAGCAACCAACCAUGAGAGGUCCUUCAGGGCAUGUCUCUGGCCAUGUGAAGGGAUGCCAUGACCAGCUGGCUGCCCUGAGCUGCGGAGCAGGCGGCGGCGGCAACGGCGGUGGAAGGAAGGAAGGAAUCAGAAGAAGAAGCCUUUUCUUGCUUGCUCGCACUGGCCAGUCAGUGGCACGCCAUCUUUUCAAUCUUCUUCCCCUCUUUGUGCUUUGUGGAGCUAGCGUGGAGGGGCAUGCAGCAGCACAGCUAUGGCGACGGACAGGUGUAGCAGCAGCAGCGGCACAUGCCAUGGACAAGCAUCAAGGUGACCACGGCCCCCCCACACACGCACAAGCAGCAGGCAGGCACCAGGCACGCAUGCUUUUUCCCCACCCCUCUGCUCUGCAGGGAAAAGUGGCAGGAUCAGAGCGGUUGAUAAUUGUCCUUGAAGCAUAUUUAUUCCUGUAGCAAUGAUCCAGCCUUGUGGUAAAAGCAUCGUACCAUCAAUUUGUUUAUUUUGUGAUUUGUUGGGGGGCACAUUUUUCUGCCAAUUCAGCGCGACGGUCGGGCCAGACUAGUUAACGGCAUCAUCAAAACAGUUAGCAUUUUGGAUCGGUGUUUUUGCCACUGUGAAAUCUUCAAGUCGGUGUGACAUGUCGGGUUUUGUAAAGUGGUGGUUUUUCGCAAGUCGUGCCGUAAAAGUGAUGGUUCUGUGCAUUUAACUAUGAAAUAUGUCAAUGGUUGUGCCACAUGCUUCAUGAGCGGAGCUAAGUUUCUUUACUUGUGCCAGACU